rnacentral:rRNA from 1 species
UAGCCUAUAAGGCUAUAAAUUAAAUAAAAGAAAACUAUAUUUAAAAUUAAUAAAUAAAAAUUAAUCCUGUAAGGGGAAUUUAAAAGAUAAAAAUUAAUAAUAAUAAAAUUAUGUACCUUUUGUAUAAUGGUUUAAUAAAAUUUAAUAAUAAAUUUAAAUCUCGAAAAAUAAUGAGCUUAAAAUAAUUUGUUAAGAACAUAAAAUAUUAAAUUUCAGCUUAAUUUUAAAAAUUAUUUUAAGAGGCCACAUACUAAACGCAUUAUUUUAUAUUUAGUUAUUUAAAUUAUGUGUAUAGCACAAAUUCUAAUAAGAAAGAAUACUAUUAAAGGAUUAGCUUUAAUAAGAAUUUAUUAAAUAUAAAAAAACUAAUUAUAAGUUUAAAAAUAGCUAUUAAAUUAAAUAAUGUAACAAUUUAAAUUUAAAAUAGUAUAAAACUAAUAUAAUAAAUAACUUUAUUAGCCUAUAGCGUAUAAUUAAAACAAUGUUAAAAUUAGUAUUAAAUUUAAAAUAAAUAAAUAAACAUAAAUAUAUUAUAAUAAUUAAAUAAAACAAUAAAUAAAGGAAUUCGGCAAAUAUAAUUCUUAACUGUUUAUCAAAAACAUUGCUUUUUGGUAAAAAAUAAAAAGUAAACCCUGCCCAAUGUAAAAAAAAAUAAAUGGCUGCGAAUAAAUUCGUACUAAGGUAGCAUAAUAAUUAGCCUUCUAAUUAAAGGAUAGAAUGAAUGGGUAAAUAAAGAAUAAUCUGUCUCUAUUUAUAAAAUAAAAAUUAAUCUAAAAGUGAAAAAGCUUUUAUAUAAUAAUAAGACAAAAAGACCCUGUUGAGCUUAAAUUAUAAUUUAAUAGUAUAAUUUUUAUUGGGGCAAUAAGGGUUAAUUAAAUCAAUCCUACUAGUAAGACUAAAAUCAAUAUAAGAUCCAAUUUAAUUGAAAAUUGAAUAAGUUACCACAGGGAUAACAGGUUUAUUUUUCUAAAGAGCCCAAAUCGAUAGAAAAGAUUGAUACCUCGAUGUUGGCUUAAAAUUUCUCUUUAAAGCAAAAUUUAAAGUAGUUGGUUUGUUCAACCAUUAAAAUUUUACGUGAUCUGAGUUCAGACCGGACA